UAAUUGCUUAUUGUUUAUUUAAUUUUUAACAGUUAAUAAAUUGAAAUUGUACAUUAAUUGGUAAACUAUACAUUAUAAAAGUCAAUCACUGACGCUUUUUUAUUUAUCCUAUUUUAUGUGUUUAGUUAAAAUAUUUGUACAUUCUGACCUGUCAGGAGAUCCUGCAUGUACAGUAAAUCCGAAAGCUGGCCAGACCCCUCCCCCUCCCCUCUCUGUUUCCACGGCAACCCUGUCAGGGUGGAGGAGAGAGCGAUUCACGUGAGGCUCGCCUCCUCUCUCUCUCUCUCUCUCUCUCUCUCUCGACUGAUAGAGGUUGCGUUUGAGGAGAGCCGUCCUUCUCUCACUCGUCCUUCUCCUCUAAAGCAGGCGUUCAUGCCAACAUGGGAUGUGGGAAUUCCUCCGCCACCAGCACUACAGCAGGAGGAGAAACAAUAUACUUAACUGAGACAUACCUGAGAACACCAUGAUGUGUCCUGAGCUGUAGAAGAGCAAUAUCUGAGCACUAAAUGUAAAUGUCUUCACAAGCCUGGAUGUAGAAAAUGGCAUGUGAGAACUGCUGGAGAUGAUUCAGCCAUCACCUCUGAGGAAGCCAGCCAACGAAUUUAAAAUGUGCAGAGAAUUUUAAAAAGUGCAUUCCAUUUUAUAAUGCUUCACGGGGAAUCUCAUUCAAAUGCAGACUGGAUGCAGGAAAAGAGCCAAACACAAAAAUAGAAUUAGCGUUCCGUGUCCCAAAAGAGAAAGAAAAUGAUGAAUGAUUGACAAGCAAGGCAUCAAAGUGGUGACAACCAUCACUAAACUCCUAAACAGAGAGACUGGAGCCUCAAAAAGGGAAUUUAUUGCUUAGACGAUGCUCUUCUAGAACUCAGGAGAUUUGCUGAAAAAGUCAUAAAUGAGUUUGGAUAAAUCGUUUGUUCUUGAAAGAAUUUGAUGAGAAAUGUUUGAGUUCAUAAUGAGAUCUUUUCAUUGCAAAUUAGCCUAUGUUUUUGGGGAAUCUUUUUCUCAGGGAGAAACAUCUGAGAAACUACUAAACAGAGGGACUGGAAAUGUUUUAAAGAAAUUUUCUUGCUUAGAUGAUGCUCUUCUAGAGCUCAGGAGACGUCAACUUUGUUAUGGUUCCCCCAACAUAAAACAUAGAACCAGUCAUAAAUGAGUCUAUAAAAUGAGUUUGGAUAAAGCAUUCACAUUUGGAAGAUGUUUGGGUUCAUACUGAGAUCUUUUGAAUGCAGCAGAAACAUCUGAAAAACAGG
rnacentral:lncRNA from 1 species